rnacentral:rRNA from 1 species
AUUGAACGCUGGCGGCAUGCCUUACACAUGCAAGUCGAACGGCAGCACGGGGCAACCUGGUGGCGAGUGGCGAACGGGUGAGUAAUGCAUCGGAACGUACCUUUCAGUGGGGGAUAACGUAGCGAAAGUUACGCUAAUACCGCAUAUUCUGUGAGCAGGAAAGCAGGGGAUCGCAAGACCUUGCGCUGAUAGAGCGGCCGAUGUCAGAUUAGCUAGUUGGUGAGGUAAAGGCUCACCAAGGCGACGAUCUGUAGCGGGUCUGAGAGGAUGAUCCGCCAGAAUGGAACUGAGACACGGUCCAGACUCCUACGGGAGGCAGCAGUGGGGAAUUUUGGACAAUGGGGGCAACCCUGAUCCAGCCAUGCCGCGUGAGUGAAGAAGGCCUUCGGGUUGUAAAGCUCUUUCGGCCGGGAAGAAAUCGCACGGGCUAAUACCCUGUGUGGAUGACGGUACCGGAAUAAGAAGCACCGGCUAACUACGUGCCAGCCGCCGCAGUAAUAC